CAACCCCAAAGGGAAAUGAGAUGGAACAAUCUGAUACUCAACCACCUGGCCUCUCUGAACUGGCAGCAAAAGAGGAUCUGGGAAAAAUGAAAUCAGAAAUAAUUACUCAGUUAUCAGAUCUGUAGGGCUACAUCCUUCCUCAUGUCUCAUUACAACAGGCAUGGAAAAAUGCUCUGAGUUCACCCUAUGUCUCCUAUUUCUGUUACUUCCAUUUGGGUCAAAUCCCUAAGGGUUGUUGAACAUGGACUUUGCAUGAGACUUAAGAACUUCCAGAAACAGAGGUAGAGAACACAUGGCACUUGGCUUUGAGCCACUUAUUAUUAGGAGGAAUAAAUAAAGGACUGGAAAGGGAGGUGAGAAGCUAAUACCCCAAGGGAGGAGGGAGAAAGAGAGGCAAAGCGCUGUGAAGGGUUAGAGAGCUGACUCUUGGGCCUGGCAUCUGCCUCACAGUGUCCCCACAUCCUAGCCAGUCUCCUGGAUAUGCGGGAUGGGGCAUAUCCAAGCAGACCUCCAGAGUGACAAGGGGGUGCCGCUGGAGUGUCUCUCACUAUUAUGUCAAAUCCCUGUUUCAGGGGGACAGACAUUUAAGAAGCUAUGCUUGGCCACCUUGCCCAGAAAUCAGGAAAGCUAUUUUUUCUCUUCAAAAUAAUUGCUACUGAUCCUUUCUUCUAUUAGCCAAAGAGUCUAAUGUCACUUUUCUGCUCUGGCUGCCAGGAAGCUUGGAGCUACAUUUUGUGCACAAUGACUGCAGCCUGCUGAGGCUAAUUCUUUGGAUUUGUAUUUCGCUACACUCUCUGUACCACUUGACUCUGUUUUUCCAUAUUUUCUACAAACAAACUUCAGUGCUACUCUAUCUUGAUAAAUUCAUAUAGAUCAAUUUGAAGCAUUUGCUUAAUUUCCAUUUGCCUAUUCCUCGAUCAUUCUAUCUCCUUUUGGCGACAGCUGCACCCACCCCCAGCUGGGGAUUCCUGACAUGCAACCUUCUGCACUGAGCACAAGGCUGUCCUCAGCGGUGGCUUUGAAAGCACCUUCUCUCUAGCCAGCAGCAGCUGAGGUGUCUUGGUGACAUUUCUGAAAGGGGCUUCUCGGCUUGAACCCUUGAAGGGGCCACCAUUUCCUGUCUCCAGGCCUUCUUCUUGUCUCAAGAGGGGGUCCGCACCGCGAGAGCUCCAUUGGCAGCUCUUCCUCCCCGCAGCCAGGUAAUUUGGCAGCUGAGCCCAGAGGCUGGUCCAGUCCCCAGCAGGGGUUUAGUUGUCUGGGCAACGUGGGCGUAGCCACGCCCAUCAACUGCCCACAGUCAGGCGCGAGACUUUUCGGUUGGUGCUCACCUGCCUGCACAGGGAAGGCGCGUUUGGAUGCUUAACUGUAGUUUCUCGAGGGACGUGUGUGGCUUGGUCAGCGUCAUUCAAACUGCGGCUAAACCCAGGUGGCCCCUCUCUGAAUCCACCAGCUUCAACGUCAUUUCCAGUCUUGAAUUGGGAAUACUGGGCCCUGUGCUCAAACGUGGCCUGAUUCCAAUCCAGGAGAGAGAUCUAAUGCCAAACCCCACCAAGUUUUCCAAAGUGUGAUCAGAGGGCAGCACCUGAGGCAGAAUUGCGAAGGACACUGCCUUCAAAUGCCAGCCCCAGGCCAUAGGAAUCACCCACACGAUGUUGGAUUGAAUUCUGGACCUUGUGCUUUCGAGGCACGUGGUGGAACCACAGAGCUAAAUCCCCGGGCCUCCAAGACUUAUUAAGAAAGAUAGUCGUAUGUGGAAGUGAGGGCCCCACCUUCUAAAGGCUCCAUUGCCUCGCACAUUGCUGCACGGAGGACCAAGGUCCCAGCACCCAAAGCUUUGGGAGACACUUUUAGACCACAUCCAAAUCACAGCAGGGUUCAAGUAUCCAAAUUCUCAUGCAUAUGCAGUUUUCUAUUCUGCUUCUAUUUCUUAAUAUCAGAAUUUUCACUCAUAAUUAAAUAUUUUGUAAAAAAAAAAGUUAUUGCAUUGGCUUUGUCACAUCCCAACAGAAAUGUAUCAAAAUGUGUUUGGUUUUCUAUUG